rnacentral:lncRNA from 1 species
AAUUAAUUUGUAUGUGUGAUGAUACUUUCGGAAAGUUAAAAAUUUCAUUCACCUAAGCUAGAAGAACUAUCUCAACCAAAACUUAAUGGAGGUCUUAGCAUUAGGAGGUUAAGGGAAUUCACCUCUGCUUUAAUUGUCAAGCUCUCCAAGUACAUGGUGAGAGAUAAGCCUUAGGUCUCCCUCUUGCAAGCUAAGUAUUU